rnacentral:rRNA from 1 species
UACGUAGGGGGCAAGCGUUGUCCGGAAUCAUUGGGCGUAAAGCGCGUGUAGGCGGCCCGAUAAGUCCGCUGUGAAAGUCCAGGGCUCAACCCUGGGAUGCCGGUGGAUACUGUCGGGCUCGAGUCCGGAAGAGGCGAGUGGAAUUCCUGGUGUAGCGGUGAAAUGCGCAGAUAUCGGAAGGAACACCGGUGGCGAAAGCGGCGCGCUGGACCUCUUCUGACGCUGAGGCGCGAAAGCCAGGGGAGCGAACGGG